CAACGUGGGUAACCUGCCCUGAUGAUUGGGACAACCCGAGGAAACUCGGGCUAAUACCAAAUGUGACCUCCGGCCAUAAGGCUGUUGGGGAAAGGAAGCUUCGGCCUCCGCAUCAGGAUGGGCCCGCGGCCCAUUAGCUUGUUGGUGAGGUAAUGGCUCACCAAGGCAACGAUGGGUAGCUGGUCUGAGAGGACGAUCAGCCACACUGGGACUGAGACACGGCCCAG
rnacentral:rRNA from 1 species